rnacentral:rRNA from 1 species
UGGGGAAUUUUGGACAAUGGGCGCAAGCCUGAUCCAGCCAUGCCGCGUGCGGGAAGAAGGCCUUCGGGUUGUAAACCGCUUUUGUCAGGGAAGAAAUCUUCUGAGUUAAUACCUCGGGAGGAUGACGGUACCUGAAGAAUAAGCACCGGCUAACUACGUGCCAGCAGCCGCGGUAAUACGUAGGGUGCAAGCGUUAAUCGGAAUUACUGGGCGUAAAGCGUGCGCAGGCGGUUUUGUAAGACAGAGGUGAAAUCCCCGGGCUCAACCUGGGAACUGCCUUUGUGACUGCAAGGCUUGAGUGCGGCAGAGGGGGAUGGAAUUCCGCGUGUAGCAGUGAAAUGCGUAGAUAUGCGGAGGAACACCGAUGGCGAAGGCAAUCCCCUGGGCCUGCACUGACGCUCAUGCACGAAAGCGUGGGGAGCAAACAGGAUUAGAUACCCCUGGUAGUCCACGCCCUAAACGAUGUCAACUGGUUGUUGGGAAGGUUCCUUCUCAGUAACGUAGCUAACGCGUGAAGUUGACCGCCUGGGGAGUACGGCCGCAAGGUUGAAACUUAAAUGAAUUGAC